rnacentral:lncRNA from 1 species
GGACGUUCAAUAGCCAUGAAAUGAAGUGGAGCAACACCACGAUGGGAUAAUCCUAGGUAUGAAGUGGACAAAUUAUUGUAUAUUAGUAAUUGUAUAAAUAUUAGUUUGAUUUGUAUAAUAUACUAAGAAUUGCUGCCAUAAAAUAUAUAUACGACUUGCUUACAAUAUAAAUAUGACUUGCAUACAAUAUUAAUAUGAAAAAGAAUUUAAGAAAAAAAGUCUUAAG